rnacentral:tRNA from 8 species
GGCCCUGUAGUCUAGCGGUUAGGACGUUGGCCUCUCACGCCGAAAGCUCGGGUUCAAGUCCCGACAGGGUCA